rnacentral:rRNA from 1 species
AUGUUCUCCCGGGCGCUGAUGACGCGGAGGGACGCGUACAAGCUGCCGUGCACCUUCACCGGCCCCGCGGCGUCGAGAGGGUCGUCGGCGCCGUCGCCCCUCGGGUCGUACAGCCACUGCCCGCCCACGUCGGCGUUCUGCUCCAGCACCGUCACGUCGUGGCCCUCCCGGCGCAGCUCGCGGGCUGAGGCGAGCCCGGCCAUCCCGGCUCCGAUCACGCAUACCUUCUUGCGUUCCAAUGGCAUGCUCUCGCCACAGACCAUGUCGAUUCUCGGGAAGUCGCGCGGUGGAUUGCUCGAGCUUGGCUCGGAUCACGCAUGCAGACCUUCUUCCGUUGCAUUGGCUCUUUUAUUAUGCGCAUUAUCUGUCAGAUCAGACACUCCGCCCAUGACGAUAAACAGUAGUAGAAAGUUUAGGUGGUUGCGUGAGUCGAUGGGAUGUCACCCAUUUUUCUGUAUCACCAGCAGACCAAGAAAGGGGGCGUACUGUGCUCAUUGUUACAGUACAAACCAAAGUGCAAUAAUUGAGAUCUUUCAAACAACUUACUUUUAG